rnacentral:lncRNA from 1 species
GGGAGUACUAUAUGCAGCGGGGCUAGAUGUGAAUAAUUUGUAUAUAGCUUUUACUAUGCUAUACUAUCUUGGGAACCAAAGGUGGUCAGUCAAAAGCUCAAGUUAGUAGUAGGGGGUGUUUGGAUACGAGGUACUAAACUUUAGGAGGGGUCACAUCGGAUGUUCGGACGCUAAUUAGGAGGACUAAACAUGAACUAAUUAUAAAACUAACUGCAGAACCCCUAUACUAAUUCGCGAGACGAAUCUAUUAAGCCUAAUUAAUCCAUCAUUAGCAAAUGGUUACUGUAGCAUCACAUUGUCAAAUCAUGGACUAAUUAGGCUUAAUAGAUUCGUCUCGCAAAUUAGACUCCAUCUGUGUAAUUAGUUUUGUAAUUAGAUUAUAUUUAAUACUUCUAAUCAGUAUCUAAACAUCCGAUGUGACAUGCCAUAAACUUUAUGACUUCGCAUCCAAACAGCCCCGUAGUAGUAGUUUGUAGUCUUUGAAUGUGGGAACUUUGGAGAAACUUUAAAGGAAAUGCUUUAUAUGUUCGGAUUUUAGGAUCUAGGAGUCCAUGUAGAAAGCACAUGAUUUUUUCCAAACUGCUUGAAGGCAUUGGUUCUUUCGGAGUGAAAUGCACAAGUAGUUCUUAAACUUGUAAUAGAGUGUCAUUCAAGUCCAUCAACUUUAACAAUACAUAUUUGAAUCCUUAAACUUUAAAUGUCUCAUCAAGUCCAAAGUAACCAAAAAU